rnacentral:rRNA from 1 species
AUGCUUGUCUCAAAGAUUAAGCCAUGCAUGUCUCAGUAUAAGCUUCUAUACGGCGAAACUGCGAAUGGCUCAUUAAAACAGUUAUAGUUUAUUUGAUGGUCAACUCUUACAUGGAUAACUGUGGUAAUUCUAGAGCUAAUACAUGCGCCCAAACCCAACUUUGUGGAAGGGUUGUGUUUAUUAGAUACAGAACCAACCCAGGCUCCGCCUGGCCUCGAGGUGAUUCAUAAUAACCGAACGGAUCGCAUGGCUUUGCCGGCGACAAAUCAUUCAAGUUUCUGACCUAUCAGCUAUCGUCGGUAGGGUAUUGGCCUACCGUGGCAAUGACGGGUAACGGAGAAUUAGGGUUCGAUUCCGGAGAGGGAGCCUGAGAAACGGCUACCACAUCUAAGGAAGGC